rnacentral:lncRNA from 1 species
AGCUCACCGGGGUGUUUUCCUUGUAGUGUCCACAAGGUGGCAGGCCAGGCACUUGAAUUUGAGCAGCGGAGGGCGCGCGCAGUCGGCGGUGGGCUGGACCGCCCAGGCACUUCGCUAAAGGUUUGUGAGGGACCCCGCGCUACUUGCAUGGUUUAAGGGUGCCUGGAGGAGGCUGUGGAGAUGCCCAACUUCAGAGCCAGCCUGCAUUUGUUCUCAAGGGAAGAGACCAGUAAAGCUGAGACAUAUAGAGAUGGCUGGGAACAAAGAAGAACAGAGGCUCCCAAUAUUAGCCACCCAGUGGAAGUGACCACGGUUCCUAUUGACCUGCUCGGCAGAGGACCCCAACAGUUUUUGCCACUGAAGAAACCAACAGACCACCUGCAGAUUUCACUAGUUUUAAUCCCACAGAUUCCCACAGUGCUUGCCAAGGACCAUGCUGUUGUCAGUGUUGUGGACCCUGGUGCUGAUGAGAUGUCAUGCCCCUCUGGACCUGGAGAUGCCACAUGCUUUCCCCUCCCCUUGGUGCCCUGCACCACUAGACCUUGGGUCACAGCACAUUCCAGGUGUCCCCCACCCACAAAUGAAGGUCUUUCUUUACUACAGUCAGUCCAUGAAGUAUGGAAAAAGUGAAUACUUGUUUGGAUGUGAAGACACCUGCACAAGGUUACAGGAUCGUGAAGAAUCACUACCAAAAGGAAUACAGUAAAACUCCAGUAACUGGCCUCAAAGAAAUGGAGAUCCAGGAAUUGCCUGACAAAGAUAUCAAAAUAAUUGUUGUAAGGAUACCAAGAGAGCUACUUGAGAAUCAGAUAAACAAUUUAAUGAAAUCAGGAAAAUAAUACAAGAAUGAAAUGA